rnacentral:rRNA from 1 species
ACCAAAGCUAGCCCAAAUAAACCCAACUCAACUACCACAAAUCAACUUAAACAAAACAUUUACUAAAACUUACUAAAGUAUAGGAGAUAGAAAUUUUAACAGGCGCUAUAGAAAAAGUACCGCAAGGGAACGAUGAAAGAAUCUUAAAAGUACCAAACAGCAAGGCUUACCCCCUCUACCUUUUGCAUAAUGAUUUAACUAGAACAGUUUUAGCAAAGAGAACUUAAGUUAAACACCCCGAAACCAGACGAGCUACCUAUGAACAGUCCCAAAAACGAACGAACUCAUCUAUGUGGCAAAAUAGUGAGAAGAUUUAUAGGUAGAGGUGAAAAGCCUAACGAGCCUGGUGAUAGCUGGUUGUCCAAAACAGAAUAUAAGUUCAAAUUUAAAUUUACCUAAAAGCCCCACAACUCCUAUGUAAAUUUAAAUUAUAAUCUAAAAAGGUACAGCUUUUUAGACACAGGAUACAACCUCCAUUAGAGAGUAAAGAUAAAACUACACAUAGUUGGCCUAAAAGCAGCCACCAAUUAAGAAAGCGUUCAAGCUCAACAAUACAGUCACCUUAAUCCCAACAACAACCAACCAACUCCUAACCUAAUAUUGGACUAAUCUAUUAACAAAUAGAAGCAAUAAUGUUAAUAUGAGUAACAAGAAUUAUUUCUCCUUGCACAAGCCUAUAUCAGAACGAAUAACCACUGAUAGUUAACAAUAAAAUAGGUUUAACCUAAUAAUAAACAACCCUAUUAAACCAACUGUUGACCCAACACAGGCAUGCACCAUAAAGGAAAGAUUGAAAAAAGUAAAAGGAACUCGGCAAACACAAACCCCGCCUGUUUACCAAAAACAUCACCUCUAGCAUAUCCAGUAUUAGAGGCACUGCCUGCCCAGUGACAUCCGUUUCAACGGCCGCGGUAUCCUAACCGUGCAAAGGUAGCAUAAUCACUUGUUCUCUAAAUAAGGACUUGUAUGAAUGGCCACACGAGGGUUUUACUGUCUCUUACCUUCAAUCAGUGAAAUUGACCUCCCCGUGAAGAGGCGGGGAUGAUAUAACAAGACGAGAAGACCCUAUGGAGCUUUAAUCAACUAAUUCACAAAAAUAAAAUCUUUAACCUACAUCCAAGGGAUAACAAAAUUUUGACUGAAUUAGCGAUUUCGGUUGGGGUGACCUCGGAGAACAAAACAACCUCCGAGUGAUUAAAUUCUAGACUAACCAGUCAAAAAUAACACAUCACUUAUUGAUCCAAAUUAUUGAUUGAUCAACGGAACAAGUUACCCUAGGGAUAACAGCGCAAUCCUAUUCUAGAGUCCAUAUCGACAAUAGGGUUUACGACCUCGAUGUUGGAUCAGGACAUCCUAAUGGUGUAACCGCUAUUAAUGGUUCGUUUGUUCAACGAUUAAAGUCCUACGUGAUCUGAGUUCAGACCGGAGUAAUCCAGGUCGGUUUCUAUCUAUUUAAUAUUUCCCCUAGUACGAAAGGAAAAGAGAAAUAAGGCCUACUUCACAAAAGCGCCUUCAAAUCAAUAGAUGAUAUAAUCUCAAUCUAAUUAAUUUAUACAUAACCUUACCCUAGACCAGGGUCGU